rnacentral:rRNA from 1 species
GACCUACGGAGGCAGCAGUGAGGAAUAUUGGUCAAUGGGCGAGAGCCUGAACCAGCCAAGUAGCGUGCAGGAAGACGGCCCUAUGGGUUGUAAACUGCUUUUAUCAGGGGAUAAAGUGAGGUAUGUAUACCUUUUUGCAUGUACCUGAUGAAUAAGGACCGACUAAUUCCGUGCCAGCAGCCGCGGUAAU